UACGUAGGGGGCAAGCGUUGUCCGGAAUCAUUGGGCGUAAAGCGCGUGUAGGCGGCCCGGUAAGUCCGCUGUAAAAGUCCAGGGCUCAACCCUGGAAAGCCGGUGGAUACUGUCGGGCUCGAGUCCGGAAGAGGCGAGUGGAAUUCUCGGUGUAGAGGUGAAAUUCGUAGAUAUCGAGAGGAACACCGGUGGCGAAGGCGGCUACCUGGACAGUGACUGACGCUGAGACGCGAAAGCGUGGGGAGCAAACAGG
rnacentral:rRNA from 1 species